UCCACAUUUACUAAUCCUGGAAUCUGCAAGUCAAGAAACCGAUCACCAGUUAGAGUACAAAGGAUAGAUUCCCUAUAGCUAUGCAUUAUAUCCAACAGGACAACUACCAUCUAAAUUUAUCUAACAAAUGGAUGAUAAUCAGAGAUAUCUGUUACAUCUGUUGUCAGCAGAAUGCUCAUAAAAUUUUAAAGUACGUGCGCCCCUAUCAUCACAAGUUCCAAAGUAUUCAUGCAGAUACACCAGCAUUAACACAACAAAAGUCCAAGGUUUUGAAG
rnacentral:misc_RNA from 1 species